rnacentral:rRNA from 1 species
GAUGAACGCUGGCGGCGUGCCUAAUACAUGCAAGUCGAGCGAACAGACGAGAGUGCUUGCACUCUCUGCCGUUAGCGGCGGACGGGUGAGUAACACGUGGGUAACCUACCUAUAAGACUGGGAUAACUUCGGGAAACCGGAGCUAAUACCGGAUAAUAUUUAGCUUCGCAUGAAGCAAUAGUGAAAGACGGUUCUGCUGUCACUUAUAGAUGGACCCGCGGUGUAUUAGCUAGUUGGUGAGGUAACGGCUCACCAAGGCAACGAUACAUAGCCGACCUGAGAGGGUGAUCGGCCACACUGGGACUGAGACACGGCCCAGACUCCUACGGGAGGCAGCAGUAGGGAAUCUUCCGCAAUGGACGAAAGUCUGACGGAGCAAUGCCGCGUGAGUGAAGAAGGUUUUCGGAUCGUAAAACUCUGUUGUAAGGGAAGAACAAGUACGUUAGUAACUGAACGUACCUUGACGGUACCUUACCAGAAAGCCACAGCUAACUACGUG